GGGAACCGACAGGAGCUAAAAUGUGUGUAUUUUCAUAAGCAGAAAUCCGUAUUGUGAGGUUAAAGGAUGUUUAAAUGAAACCUGUAUGCUAAUCUAGACUAGACAUGACUAGUCAGUCCAACAGUGAAAUGAGUGGAGACGGAGGGCCUGAGGUUGAACUGGAUGUUUUAAGCUUGAAAAAGCCAAAUAAACCUGCUUCACCGGGACCAAGUCAUGUGUCACUGGGAAACGAGCCUUCGUCUGGUCUGUUAACACUGAAGAAGAAAACCGCUCAACACCGGUUGAUUAAUCGUGAGGACUCUGACUUCUCUUUGCUCAGCGGUUUGUCAAUGAAAAUUGAGAAAUCG